CUUUGUGGUCCUAAAACGGUGACGUCACCUAUUUCGGUGACCAGUUUGUAACUGUUAAAACGUAUAUAUACAGGAGGAAUAUGCGACUUCAACGUCAAUGAAUAUAAUAACAUAGUGUAGAAUUCUAGACUUUUGGUAUACUUUAUAUCAAUUUGAAGGUUUGCUUGAAAAAGUAAUAAGUAAAUGAGAAGCUAUUUUUGGGAUGCUCAUGUUCAUUUUUUGCAUACUCUCCUUCUAGUAGUUCAUUUUCGGAAAAAGACGUACUCUAUAUAUGUUUGCAAACACUACGGCGAAAUUGAUGACAUAAUCUACACCCGGAAACGACAACGUGCACACGUAAACAAAAGGUCACCGAUUCUGGACAGUCACCGAAAUAGGGCAGUGAACGAUAGAAAAAUUACUGCAUUUGUCAUUUACAAAUUAAUUAAGGGGGGGGGGGUAUCUUCAGGGGUUUGAAAUGACUGCUUGUCUUCCUGUGGCUUAUUUUGUAUCUGAAUAUUGCGAGAAAAAAAUGUUCAAAUCAACCUUACAGACAAAGCGUAAAAAAUGUGUCGUGAAUGUACAGUAUUCGGACAAUUUAAUAAGUGUGUGGAGUGGCCGGAAGAUUAUGCGCGGAUAUUUUGAAAUGAUAAUUUUAGCUGAGCACUACAUAAUUUACAGCAGCGGAUCUAGUGGGUGGGUUUUAUUUGAACGUUAUCAACCAAAAAUUAUCAGCAUUUGCUCUUUUGCGGUCUCUUUUUGAAAGAAAUUUUCUGGAUCCGCCACUGAUUUGUUAUCAAGAAAUACAACUCAGUCCAUGUUCAUUUAUACCACUAAAAUCUACAAGAGUUGUCGUUCUUUAAGAAGCAGAAGACACUUGCUGUGAAAACGGAAAUGGAUGCCGAAUUCUGAAGAAAAGCUUAUUUAGGGAUCUUUAGAGGAUGUUGUCCACUAAGUUAAUGGUGGGGAUCGUAGCACUACCCUACACACAGACAUGAAAUGGAUUUGCCUAGUCCAUUAUCAGAAGAGUGACCAGGAUUGUUCGUCCCAUCAGAGAAGUUUCUCAAGAAGCAUUACAAGGGACUUGUAUGAAUGGGCAGAAGAAUUUUAUUUAACUGACCACCCCACCAUUGCCUGCUCUUGGAGACUGAACACUUUAUUGAAAAUUGCUGGGUGUAGCAAUCAGUGGGUGUCCUUAUUUGCCCAGAGAAGAGUCAGAGAAGUAUUCAUUUUUAUUGCAAAAAGUUUAGUUCAUGUAAUGAGCAUGAACACAUAUUUUACAGUUAUCUCCCUUAGACUAUGUAAAUUAUAAUACAGCACUUGCUAAUGAUGUUAUUUUACAUAUUAAUGUUGAUUGAAUGUUGUCAAUUUGGUUUGUAGUCAAAGACAUGAGUCAUGGCUGCCUGUAUUGUACCAGUUUACAUACAGUUACCUACAGAAUUAACAGUAGAUUACAUGUACCUGACUCCCCAGGUUACCUGAGUGAUUAUUGCUGUUGGUCUGCAUCCAUCACUGUGUUUCGUCUGUCGUGCAUUACCAAUAUUCAACAUGUUAUAUACCUGUCUUUAGAUGGGACGUAUUAACUUAAGCUCCCUGGGCCUCAUGAGAUGGUGACACCCUGCAGUAGGAACAGUUCCUACCGAUAUCUCUUAAAAGCAGACAGAGGUUCUCAUAGCAUCUGAUCCAUUUCUGGAGACAAACUUUUGUAUGGAGCUGGUAAAAUUUCUAUCUUUUAUUAGCUUGUUUGAGCUAUAAACUCAAGUGGGCUUUUCUGAUCACCAAUUGUCUGUUGUACAUCUGUCUGUCAAACUGUCUGUAAACUUAUUUUCAA